GAUGAAGAACGUAGCGAAAUGCGAUACUUGGUGUGAAUUGCAGAAUCCCGUGAACCAUCGAGUCUUUGAACGCAAGUUGCGCCUCAAGCCAUUAGGUUGAGGGCACGUCUGCCUGGGCGUCUCAUAUCGUUGCCUGAUGCCAGUUUCCUCGUGAUGGGUGACUGUGCAGGGCGAAUGAUGGCUUCCCGUGAGCAUUGUUGCCUCAUGGUUGGUUGAAAAUUGAGUCCUUGGUAGGGAGCGCCGUGAUAGAUGGUGGUUGAGUGACGAACGAGACCCAAUCAUGUGAGACCCCUACCGAAUUUGGCCUUCAUGACCCACAUGCGUCUUUGGAACGCUCAUGACGAGACCUCAGGUCAGGCGGGGCUACCCGCUGAGUUUAAGCAUAUCAAUAAGCGGAGGA
rnacentral:misc_RNA from 1 species